rnacentral:rRNA from 1 species
GACGAACGCUGGCGGUGUGCUUCACACAUGCAAGUCGAACGGGGUAGCAAUACCCAGUGGCGGACGGGUGAGUAACGCGUAGAAAUCUGCCCUUGAGAUGGGGGAUAACAGUCCGAAAGGACUGCUAAUACCGCAUAUGUAUGUAUCUCGACAGAGGUGUAUAUGAAAGGAGUAAUCCGUCUUAAGAUGAGUCUGCGUCCGAUUAGCUAGUUGGUAGGUAAAGGCCUACCAAGGCGACGAUCGGUAGCUGGUCUGAGAGGAUGAUCAGCCACAAUGGGACUGAGACACGGCCCACACUCCUACGGGAGGCAGCAGUGGGAAUUUUGUGCAAUGGGGGAAACCCUGACACAGCGACACCGCGUGAG